rnacentral:rRNA from 2 species
CAUGGGCAGGUUGAAGGUUGGGUAACACUAACUGGAGGACCGAACCGACUAAUGUUGAAAAAUUAGCGGAUGACUUGUGGCUGGGGGUGAAAGGCCAAUCAAACCGGGAGAUAGCUGGUUCUCCCCGAAAGCUAUUUAGGUAGCGCCUCGUGAACUCAUCUUCGGGGGUAGAGCACUGUUUCGGCUAGGGGGUCAUCCCGACUUACCAACCCGAUGCAAACUACGAAUACCGAAGAAUGUUAUCACGGGAGACACACGGCGGGUGCUAACGUCCGUCGUGAAGAGGGAAACAACCCAGACCGCCAGCUA